CAGUAAUAUUGUCUGGCUGAAGGGCUGCUGUGAGUGACCUGGAGAAAAUUACUUGCAGUAUCCUCCAGGGAGAUUCGAGAAACAUACAGAGGAUCCAGAGCAAGAGCAUCAGGGGUUAGAAUAAAUAGCAUCCUGCGAGCUUCCAGAAUGUGCAGCAGCUUCUAAGAGAAUCGGCACCUGCUGCCACAGCUGUUCUAAUGGAUCAAAAAAAGCUCAGAACUUUUCAUGCAAAAGGAAGAGGUAAACCAAACAGUAAUUACUUGGAGACCUGGUCCUAUGCUCCAAAAGAAGAGUUGUUGCAGUAUAGUGGUGCUUUAAGAUGGAGCACCACCAAGAUAGGUGUGUCAAAGUGGUGAGGACAGGGGAUCUCCCAGGCCAGUCACAGAUCUGUUUUCCAGGCAGUGAGGAUUCUUCAGGCCACUUCUGAAUGUCUUGGCGUGAUGACACCAGCCAACAACACGUUCGUGGAUCACUUCCACAUUCUAAAGAAGACAGAACAGUCCCUCAUGGCCCCCCACAAGCAGUAGACAGAGAGCAUUCAGGCCAUGCUGCAGCUUUUCCACAUGGCCCUUUGCAACAGAAGAAGAAGUCUACACAGCAGUGGCACAAAUGUCCCUUGCCCAGGGCAGAUCUUCUCAUCUGAUACCCAGGACACUUCCCAACAGCAACAAGAAGUCAAACAGGUCUUCCUGCUCCUGAUGAGCUACCACCACCUCCCAAUCAUACCAAAAUAUUUGCACAGCUGUCUCGCCCGCACACAGUGCAGACCACAUAGCUUCUUAGUCAGUCACACUCAUCUCUCUCUCCUUCCCUCCAGGCCCUUUCCAACCAACCCAACCAGAUGUCCCACAGACUUAUCAUGCUCUGAUGCAUCUCAGCCCCAUCUACAUCUAAAGUCACUAUCAUUACCUGGGGGCUCAGGGAUGCUGGUUCAGGAUCAGCUCUCCUUGACUUGACAGGCUCUUGGGCACUUCCCUUCAGAGGAAAGCAACACAGUGUGGGGCCCCAGCUCCUUUAACCCUCCAUUCAACCAAGCAGCAAUUCUGGGCCACCUCUCUAGCCCAAGAAACUCCUCCCUGUCCUCCAUGACCCCCUAGACUGUAAUGGCAGGGGAGUGUGCAAACUUUCUGGGAUCACACCUCCCCUUUCUUCCUCCCUGAUUUCACUCUUACCCUACCCAUUUAUUUGUCUAUAGUGUUUAAUAAAAACUUUGAUUAGUUUAUAAUAAAAGCUGAUUUGGGUUUAUAAAGAAGCAAGAGAAUGGUACUCAACUUAUGGUUGAGCUUAUGACUAUGGUGCCUUCAUCUCACCACACAGUACAGCGCCAGGGUUCACUAUGUUCUCCCUCACAGGAAUGCCCUAAAGGCCACGCUAUUCCAGAGCCUCAGUCUGUGGGUUGUGGUACUGCCUGGGGAGCCUGUGCAGCCCAUGCCAUGGCAACAUUUGGUUUCUUGGCUCACACAUGAUAAGAGCUGUUCAGAUAAUCAGUGAAUUGCCCCAGAUGCUGCAUAAGUCAGGGGAGAAGUAUGUAUACUGGGUACUCAAGAAGAAGCCCUCCAGAUGGGAAAAAGUCCAUUCCUUCCACUUCUAUGUUGGUACUGGCACAUGCUAACACUCUCCGUAUUAACCAUCAGCACCAACCUGGUGUACGCAAAGACUUUAGCGUAAUGAACUUUGACUGAAUACCUUAUGGUUACUUGUGUGACUUGUCUUCAGGGUUUCAUGAUGGUCUGCAGCAGGAUGGAGAAUAAGCAUUUGAAGCGAGUGUGUAAGAACCGAUAGUUCAUCAGGUGCAAGAUGGGAGGGUGGGUACCAAUGAUAGGUCUACAUUAGAUCAGGAAGCUCAUCCCAGGUAUUAUCCCCCUGGAGGAAAUGCAGAUCCAGCACCCUCUGAAUGGCACAGCUUACCUCCUCUUUGGGUGAUGUGGUCAUGGAUUCGUCCACCCU